CCUCUAAGUCAGAAUCCAUGCCAGAACGCGGUGAUACCUCCCGCACGUUGUAGACGGAUAAGAAUAGGCUCCGGCCUCGUAUCUUAGCAGGCGAUCCGUCCGCCGGGCUCGAAAGCGCCCGUCGGCAAUUCGCGUAUUGUAAUUUCGACACGAGCGGGAUCAAAUCCUUUGCAGACGACUUAGCUGUGCGAAAGGGUCCUGUAAGCAGUAGAGUAGCCUUGUUGUUACGAUCUGCUGAGGGUAAGCCCUCCUUCGCCUAGAUUUCC
rnacentral:ncRNA from 1 species